UACUAGAGUAGCACUCGCAUAUCAAUAAGCGGAGGAAAAGAAACUAACAAGGAUUCCCCUAGUAACGGCGAGUGAAGCGGGAAGAGCUCAAAUUUGAAAUCUUAAAGGGUUUCCCUUUACGAAUUGUAGUUUAAAGAAGUGUUUUCUGUUGAGGUUUUGGUAAAAGUUCUUUGGAAUAGGACAUCAUAGAGGGUGAGAAUCCCGUAUUUGACCUUUACUUUCAACUUUGUGAUACACUUUCAAAGAGUCGGAUUGCUUGGGAAUGCAGUCCAAAAUGGGUGGUAAAUUUCAUCUAAAGCUAAAUAUUGGCGAGAGACCGAUAGCGAACAAGUACCGUGAGGGAAAGAUGAAAAGAACUUUGAAAAGAGAGUUAAACAGUACGUGAAAUUGUCAAAAGGGAAGCGUUUGACACCAGUGUUGUUUUUCUGAAAAUCAAUUAAAGAACUGUUUAUGCUAAGCUGUUUAGACUUUAUCAGCUAAUCUGUUUAGUUUUGAGCUUUUCUUUAAUGCACUUUUCAGUUAACAAGUCAACAUCAAUUUCUUUUGCUGUAAAAAAGCUUGAGGAAGGUGGCUUGAGAUUCGUCUUAAGUGUUUAUAGCCUCUUGCCUAUGCAGUCGGAGAGAUUGAGGUCUGCAGCGUAGAUCCUUCGGGGCUAAAUGCAUUUGUGCUAAGUUAUAGCAUUUUAUAGACAACUUGUUGACUAUGAUUUGUCUUGUAGCUUACUCGCUUAUGUUAUUUUACCUACGCUUAGGAUGUUGAGCGCAUGUCUCUCUCU
rnacentral:rRNA from 1 species